CUAAAAGCUAGGAAUGAGACUAGUAAACUCUGUAGCAAGCCCAGAGAGCCGGGAAUGGUGGGAGCCGGUGCUAUGUGAAGAGUGGAAUGGACUCAGGAGCUACCAGUUGAAAACCUUGACAGGUUAUUAAGCUAGGCCGGUUGGAACCGUUAUAUUCCGGGAACGGAUUAUCGUUUCGAUGAGAUGAGCUGAAAAGCUCAAUAAGGGUGGCACCGCGGAGCCUUCUGCCCCUUGG
rnacentral:ncRNA from 1 species